AUUGAACGCUGGCGGCAUGCCUUACACAUGCAAGUCGAACGGCAGCGCGGGAGCUUGCUCCUGGCGGCGAGUGGCGAACGGGUGAGUAAUACAUCGGAACGUACCCAGAAGUGGGGGAUAACGUAGCGAAAGUUACGCUAAUACCGCAUAUUCUGUGAGCAGGCAAGUGGGGGAUCGCAAGACCGCACGCUUUUGGAGCGGCCGAUGUCGGAUUAGCUAGUUGGUGAGGUAAAGGCUCACCAAGGCGACGAUCCGUAGCGGGUCUGAGAGGAUGAUCCGCCACACUGGGACUGAGACACGGCCCAGACUCCUACGGGAGGCAGCAGUGGGGAAUUUUGGACAAUGGGGGCAACCCUGAUCCAGCCAUGCCGCGUGAGUGAAGAAGGCCUUCGGGUUGUAAAGCUCUUUCGCGAGGGAAGAAAGCGCACUGGUUAAUACCUGGUGUGGAUGACGGUACCUUGAUAAGAAGCACCGGCUAACUACGUGCCAGCCGCCGCAGUAA
rnacentral:rRNA from 1 species